rnacentral:rRNA from 1 species
GUGAACGCUGGCGGUAGGCCUAACACAUGCAAGUCGAACGGCAGCACAGUAAGAGCUUGCUCUUACGGGUGGCGAGUGGCGGACGGGUGAGGAAUACAUCGGAAUCUACUUUUUCGUGGGGGAUAACGUAGGGAAACUUACGCUAAUACCGCAUACGACCUACGGGUGAAAGCAGGGGGUCUUCGGACCUUGCGCGAUUGAAUGAGCCGAUGUCGGAUUAGCUAGUUGGCGGGGUAAAGGCCCACCAAGGCGACGAUCCGUAGCUGGUCUGAGAGGAUGAUCAGCCACACUGGAACUGAGACACGGUCCAGACUCCUACGGGAGGCAGCAGUGGGGAAUAUUGGACAAUGGGCGCAAGCCUGAUCCAGCCAUACCGCGUGGGUGAAGAAGGCCUUCGGGUUGUAAAGCCCUUUUGUUGGGAAAGAAAAGCAGCAGGUUAAUACCCCGCUGUUCUGACGGUACCCAAAGAAUAAGCACCGGCUAACUUCGUG